GACGAACGCUGGCGGCGUGCUUAACACAUGCAAGUCGAACGAAGUGGCGGACGGGUGAGUAACGCGUAAUCAACCUGCCCUUCAGAGGGGGACAACAGUUGGAAACGACUGCUAAUACCGCCUACUGAUGGAGGGGACUGCGUCGGAUUAGCUAGUUGGAGGGGUAACGGCCCACCAAGGCGAUGAUCAGUAGCCGGUUUGAGAGGAUGAACGGCCACAUUGGGACGGAGAAACGGCCCAGACUCCGACGGGAGGGAGUAGUGGGGAAUCUUCCGCAAUGGACGAAAGUCUGACGGAGCAACGCCGCGUGAUGGAUGACGGCCUUCGGGUUGUAAAGCUCUGUUAAUCGGGACGCGGUACCGGAAUAGAAAGCCACGGCUAACUACGUGCCAGCAGCCGCGGUAAUAC
rnacentral:rRNA from 1 species